GUUACUGUAGUAUUUGUGUAGUGUUAGUGUAGUAUUAGUGUAGUGUUAGUGUAGUAUUAGUGUAGUGUUAGUGUAGUGUUAGUGUAUGGUUAGUGUAGUAUUAGUGUGGUGUUAGUGUAGUGUUAGUGUAGUAUUAGUGUAGUAUUAGUGCAGUGCUAGUGUAGUAUUGGUGUAGUAUUAGUGUAGUGUUAGUGUAGUGUUAGUGUAGUAUUAGUGUAGUAUUGGUGUAGUUGUAGUGUAGUGUUAGUGUAGUGUUAGUGUAGUGUUAGUGUAGUAUUAGUGUAGUAUUAUUGUAGUAUUAGUGUAGUGUUAGUGUUGUAUUAGUGUAGUGUUAGUGUAGUAUUGGUGUAGUGUUAGUGUAGUAUUAGUGUAGUUGUAGUGUUAGUGUAGUGUUAGUGUAGUAUUAGUGUAGUAUUAGUGUGGUGUUAGUGUAGUGUUAGUGUAGUGUUAGUGUAGUAUUGGUGUAGUGUUAGUGUAGUAUUAGUGUAGUGUUAGUGUAGUGUUAGUUUAGUGUUAGUGUAGUAUUAGUGUAGUGUUAGUGUAGUAUUAGUGUAGUAUUAGUGUAGUGUUAGUGUAGUGUUCGUUUAGUAUUAGUGUAGUGUUAGUGUAGUAUUAGUGUAGUAUUACAUAAUUAACCAGAGUGCAGGGGUGAGAUAAGGACCACCAUGCAGUCAAGGUUUAUACUACAGGGGUGCCUGGCAGUCCCAUAACAAAUCAGGGCACGUUCAUAAACAUGAAAUAUUAACGCAACACCCCCAGAAGUGUUAAAGGUACAACCUGUAAUUUGACCAGCCUGACCCUGCCACUUGGUUUGGUAAACAGGGAUGAGGCUGGGAGAAAUGGAACCACUCUCAUAUUCAGAUGGACUAUGAAUUCCAAGACUAAGAGUCCAUAAGAAUGACUUAUAGUGUUAACCAUAUGUUCAAGAUAUACAUGGUUUGUUUACAAUGGUUUAUUGUAAAGACCAAG
rnacentral:lncRNA from 1 species